GGGCUAAUAGCCACUUAUCAGUGAGUGCAAA
rnacentral:piRNA from 1 species